GGCACUCAGCACUGAGGCACUCAGAGAAGGGCUGGUCCCUGGGCUAAAAUGAGAACAAGAGAAAUUUUCGCCAGAAGACUUUCUUCCAUGCUCUGCCCAGGCCUGCUGUGGGCAUUCAUGUUCUUCUUUAGCUUCAGAUUCAUCAAGACUGAUAAAGUCACUCAAGCUCAGACUACAGUGACAAUGCAGGAAGGAGAAGCUGUGACCAUGGACUGCACAUAUGAAAUCAGUUGGAUAACUUAUACUUUGUAUUGGUACAAACAGCCUCCUAGUGGAGAGAUGAUUUUCCUUGUUUCUCAGUACUAUUCUGACCCAAAUGCAAAACAGGAUCGCUACUUUGUGAACUUUCAAAGGGAAAAAAAUUUCAUCAGCCUCACUAUCUCUUCCUUACAACUGACAGACUCAGCAAAAUACUUUUGUGCUCUGUAUUCCCACAGUAAUAAAAAUGAUAGUAGAAGGUUAACAAAAACCUUUGAGCUCCAUAAAAACAUCCACCUGCUCAGAAGUUCGGAAGAAACCAUGAACCACAGGAAGGAAGAAGGCAAGCACUGUGUGUGGUGGCACAGCUGA